GGGGUUCGAUUCUUUGGGGUUGGGUGCUUUGGGGUUCAGUGCUUUUGGGUUCAUUGCUUUGGAUUUAGGUGCUUUUGGGUUUUGGUGCUUUUGGGUUUGGUGCUUUGGGGUUCAGUGCUUUGAGGCUCAGAGCUUUGGGGUUUGGUGCUUUGGGGUUUGGUGCUUUGGGGUUCAAUGCUUUGGGGUUCAGAGCUUUGGGGUUUGGUGCUUUGGGGUUCAAUGCUUUGGGGUUCAAUUCUUUGGGGUUUGGUGCUUCAGGGUUUGAUGCUUUGGAGUUCAGAGCUUUGGGAUUUGGUGCUUCAGGGUUUGGUGUAUCAGAGUUCAGUGCUUUGGGGUUUGGCUCUUUGGGGUUCAAUGCUUUGGGGUUUGGUGCUCUGGGGUUUGGUGCUUUGGGGUUC
rnacentral:lncRNA from 7 species